AGAGUUCGUUCCUGGCUCAGGAUGAACGCUAGCUACAGGCUUAACACAUGCAAGUCGAGGGGCAGCAUGGUCUUAGCUUGCUAAGGCCGAUGGCGACCGGCGCACGGGUGAGUAACACGUAUCCAACCUGCCGUCUACUCUUGGACAGCCUUCUGAAAGGAAGAUUAAUACAAGAUGGCAUCAUGAGUCCGCAUGUUCACAUGAUUAAAGGUAUUCCGGUAGACGAUGGGGAUGCGUUCCAUUAGAUAGUAGGCGGGGUAACGGCCCACCUAGUCUUCGAUGGAUAGGGGUUCUGAGAGGAAGGUCCCCCACAUUGGAACUGAGACACGGUCCAAACUCCUACGGGAGGCAGCAGUGAGGAAUAUUGGUCAAUGGGCGAGAGCCUGAACCAGCCAAGUAGCGUGAAGGAUGACUGCCCUAUGGGUUGUAAACUUCUUUUAUAAAGGAAUAAAGUCGGGUAUGCAUACCCGUUUGCAUGUACUUUAUGAAUAAGGAUCGGCUAACUCCGUGCCAGCAGCCGCGGUAAUACGGAGGAUCCGAGCGUUAUCCGGAUUUAUUGGGUUUAAAGGGAGCGUAGAUGGAUGUUUAAGUCAGUUGUGAAAGUUUGCGGCUCAACCGUAAAAUUGCAGUUGAUACUGGAUAUCUUGAGUGCAGUUGAGGCAGGCGGAAUUCGUGGUGUAGCGGUGAAAUGCUUAGAUAUCACGAAGAACUCCGAUUGCGAAGGCAGCCUGCUAAGCUGCAACUGACAUUGAGGCUCGAAAGUGUGGGUAUCAAACAGGAUUAGAUACCCUGGUAGUCCACACGGUAAACGAUGAAUACUCGCUGUUUGCGAUAUACGGCAAGCGGCCAAGCGAAAGCGUUAAGUACUCCACCUGGGGAGUACGCCGGCAACGGUGAAACUCAAAGGAAUUGACGGGGGCCCGCACAAGCGGAGGAACAUGUGGUUUAAUUCGAUGAUACGCGAGGAACCUUACCCGGGCUUGAAUUGCACUCGGAUAUAGCGGAAACGUUAUAGCUAGCAAUAGCGAGUGUGAAGGUGCUGCAUGGUUGUCGUCAGCUCGUGCCGUGAGGUGUCGGCUUAAGUGCCAUAACGAGCGCAACCCUUGUUGUCAGUUACUAACAGGUUCUGCUGAGGACUCUGACAAGACUGCCAUCGUAAGAUGUGAGGAAGGUGGGGAUGACGUCAAAUCAGCACGGCCCUUACGUCCGGGGCUACACACGUGUUACAAUGGGGGGUACAGAGGGCCGCUACCACGCGAGUGGAUGCCAAUCCCCAAAACCUCUCUCAGUUCGGACUGGAGUCUGCAACCCGACUCCACGAAGCUGGAUUCGCUAGUAAUCGCGCAUCAGCCACGGCGCGGUGAAUACGUUCCCGGGCCUUGCACUCACCGCCCGUCA
rnacentral:rRNA from 1 species